rnacentral:rRNA from 1 species
CCCAGACUCCUACGGGAGGCAGCAGUGGGGAAUAUUGCACAAUGGGGGAAACCCUGAUGCAGCGACGCCGCGUGAGCGAUGAAGUAUUUCGGUAUGUAAAGCUCUCUCAGCAGGGAAGAAGAUGACGGUACCUGACUAAGAAGCCCUGGCUAACUACGUGCCAGCAGCCGCGGUAAUACGUAGGGGGCAAGCGUUAUCCGGAUUUACUGGGUGUAAAGGGAGCGUAGACGGCGAUGCAAGCCAGAUGUGAAAGCCCGGGGCUCAACCCCCGGACUGCUCUGGAAACUGUACGGCUGGAGUGCAGGAGAGGUAAGUGGAAUUCCUAGUGUAGCGGUGAAAUGCGUAGAUAUUAGGAGGAACACCAGUGGCGAAGGCGGCUUACUGGACUGUAACUGACGUUGAGGCUCGAAAGCGUGGGGAGCAAACAGGAUUAGAUACCCCAGUA